CUACCCAGAAGACCGGGAUAACCCUGGGAAACUGGGGCUAAUACCGGAUACGCUCCUUUGGGGGCAUCCCUAAGGGAGGAAAGGGUGUUGAGCCCGCUUUUGGAUGGGCCCGCGUCCCAUUAGCUAGUUGGUGAGGUAACGGCUCACCAAGGCGACGAUGGGUAGCCGGCCUGAGAGGGUGGUCGGCCACACUGGGACUGAGACACGGCCCAGACUCCUACGGGAGGCAGCAGUGGGGGAUCUUGCGCAAUGGGGGAAACCCUGACGCAGCGACGCCGCGUGGGUGACGAAGGCCUUCGGGUUGUAAAGCCCUGUCGUAGGGGAAGAAGAGAUGACGGUACCCUACAAGAAAGCCCCGGCUAACUACGUGCCAGCAGCCGCGGUAAAACGUAGGGGGCGAGCGUUGUCCGGAAUUACUGGGCGUAAAGGGCGUGUAGGCGGGCGGCCAAGUCAGGUGUGAAAGGCCCCGGCUCAACCGGGGAGAUGCACCUGAGACUGGUCGUCUUGAGGGCAGGAGAGGGGAGUGGAAUUCCCGGUGUAGCGGUGAAAUG
rnacentral:rRNA from 1 species